AAAAUCCAUAUGCAAAAGUCAGAGUGAACGGAUUUGGCAGUAUUGGGCGCCUGGUCACCAGGGCUGCUUUUAACUCUGGCAAAGUGGAUAUUGUCGCCAUUGGUGACCCUUUCAUUGACCUCAACUACAUGGUCUACAUGUUCCAGUAUGAUUCCACCCAUGGCAAAUUCCACGGCAGAGUCAAGGCUGAGAACAGGAAGCUUGUCCUCAAUGGAAAGUCCAUCUCCAUCUUCCAGGAGUGAG